CGUGUAGGCGGUUGGCCAAGUCCGAUGUGAAAGCCCGAGGCUCAGCCUCGGAAGUGCAUCGGAAACUAGCCGGCUGGAGCGCGAUAGAGGAGGGUGGAAUUCCUGGUGUAGCGGUGAAAUGCGUAGAUAUCAGGAGGAACACCGGCGGCGAAGGCGGCCCUCUGGAUCGUUGCUGACGCUGAGACGCGAAAGCGUGGGGAGCAAACAGGAUUAGAUACCCUGGUAGUCCACGCUGUAAACGAUGGGUACUAGGUGUUCGGGGUAUUGACCCCCUGAGUGCCGCAGUUAACGCAUUAAGUACCCCGCCUGGGACUACGGCCGCAAGGUUAA
rnacentral:rRNA from 1 species